rnacentral:rRNA from 1 species
UCAGGAUGAACGCUGGCGGCGUGCUUAACACAUGCAAGUCGAACGAUGAUCCGGUGCUUGCACCGGGGAUUAGUGGCGAACGGGUGAGUAACACGUGAGUAACCUGCCCUUAACUCUGGGAUAAGCCUGGGAAACUGGGUCUAAUACCGGAUAUGACUGAUCAUCGCAUGGUGGUUGGUGGAAAGCUUUUUGUGGUUUUGGAUGGACUCGCGGCCUAUCAGCUUGUUGGUGAGGUAAUGGCUUACCAAGGCGACGACGGGUAGCCGGCCUGAGAGGGUGACCGGCCACACUGGGACUGAGACACGGCCCAGACUCCUACGGGAGGCAGCAGUGGGGAAUAUUGCACAAUGGGCGAAAGCCUGAUGCAGCGACGCCGCGUGAGGGAUGACGGCCUUCGGGUUGUAAACCUCUUUCAGUAGGGAAGAAGCGAAAGUGACGGUACCUGCAGAA